rnacentral:lncRNA from 1 species
CACGUCGCUCUUGGUGGUGUAGACGCGGUCGGCCAGGCUCUCCAGGGCCACCCACUUGACGGGGACGGGGGCGACGCGGCCCUGCCGGUAGUACUGCCCCCCCCCCCACCGGCUUCGACAGCCCGAAGUCGGCCACGCACCCCCGCAGCCGCGCGCCCAGCGGGGGGGGGGGGCACCGACACCGUGUCACCACCGUCACCAUGUCACCGUCACCGUGACACCGUCACCACGACACCAUGUCACCACCAUCACCGUGUCACCGUGUCACCAUCACCACCAUCACCACCACCAUUGUGUCAUCAUGUCACCAUGUCACCAUCACCAUGUCACCACCGUCAUGUCACCAUGUCACCGUCACCGUGUCACCGUCACCAUUGUGUCACCAUGACACUGUCACCGCGUCACCACCGUCAUCACCACCAUGUCACCAUGUCACCAUGUCACCGUCACCGUGUCACCAUCACCACGUCACCAUGUCACCGUCACCACGUCACCAUGUCACUGUGUCACCGUCACUGUCACCAUGUCACCACCAUCACCACCACCAUCACGUCACCAUGUCACCGUCACCGUGUCACCGUCACCAUUGUGUCACCAUGACACUGUCACCGCGUCACCGUCACCAUUGUGUCACCAUGACACUGUCACCGUGUCACCGUCACCAUUGUGUCACCAUGACACUGUCACCGCGUCACCAUGUCACUGUCACCAUGACACCAUCACCACGACACUGUCACCGUGUCACCACCAUCACCACCAUCGUGUCACCAUGUCACUGUCACCGUGUCACCGUCACUGUGUCACCAUCACCGUGUCACUGUCACCAUGUCACCACUGUCACCACCACCAUUGUGUCACCAUGUCAAUGUCACCAUGUCACCAUGACACCAUCACCAUGUCACCACCAUCACCACCACCAUCACGUCACCAUGUCACCAUCACUGUGUCACCGUGUCACCAUCACCGCGACACCGUCACUGUCACCAAGUCACCGUCACCAUGUCACCACUGUCACCACCAUCACCAUGUCACCGUGUCACCAUCACUGUCAUCGUGACACCCUCACCAUGUCACCACCGUCACCAUGUCACUGCCACCAUGACACCGUGUCACCAUGUCACCGUCACCGUGUCACCGUCACC